AUAUUAUAGCACUCUUCAAACACCCGUCGUCAUAUUAUAAAUUUAUUAUAGGAAUUUUAACAAAGACGCUAUUGAAACUUAUAUAAAAUAAUAAAAAAAAAUUAAGAAAUGAACCGCCUAAGUUUUCUUCCCUCGCCUUAGCUUAACAAAAACAAAAAAAGAAUCGCCGCCCAACUUUCUUUUCAAACCCUCAAAACCUAAGAACUUCAACUUCUCUCACAUGUAACUAUUCUCAAAUUGCAAACCUUGUUCGGCCAUCUGGGUGGAUUUUGCAUCUACUAUUUUGCAAUUUUAGAUCUUGUGGUAGGUUUUUUAAUUGCGUUAUGGAGUCGUGUUAAAUUGAUGAAUUCGGCAUUUGAACUUCAAUCAGGAAUUCAAGAACGACUAUUUAUCUCUCCUUCUCUGGAAUCGGAGUUUCAUCUCAUUUCAAAUUUUGAGGUGAACAAUGUUGUUGCUGAAGCAAAUAAUGGUGUGCCUUGGAUAGCAACUCUUUUAUAUCAGGGAUUCUUUAGAGUAGCAGUUGCUCUAAAAUUCUGCAUUUACUUUCGGCAAUUUUUUUUUCUGAGUUGUUAUGAGCUAAUGUUAUUCCGGACCGAUAUCUGCAAACCAUGAGCUUUUAGAUAAAUAAAAUUUACAUUUUUUACUUCUAUCAUGUACUCUUUGUUCUGUUAUGGACUCGCUUCUGCUGUGAACGUAUGCUGGGAAUUUCAUACAUCGCUAGUGCAAAGAACUCACAAAUUCACCCAUAACCUGAUAACAAUACACACACAAAUUAUCUCUGCCUUUCUUCUUAUUUAUACAAAGCUGAGUAUAUGACAUUUAAUGCUUUUCUUGUUUUCUAGCAGCAACGACAUUGUGUGCUCUCUUCUUGCUUCUCCUGUCCUGCUUCUACUGUCCUGAUGUUGUACUUUCUUGUUGUCUACUGAUGUGUCGCUAUGUCGAUUGGUCGGCUGCUCUUGUUGUUGGUUUCACCUAUGUCAAUUAGUACGGUUCAUGUCAGUUAGUUGCCUAACUAGUCAACAAAUACUAACUUAUCCGUUUGUUUGUCACACUCGUAACCUAUUAAUAAGAAUCCUUCCCUGCUAAGCAAUGACAUCCCAGAUGAACCUCUUGGUUUCUGAGUCCGUUUUUUCAAGGCAUCCAUCUCGGAUCCAUAUCUGAAACUUCAAUUUAUAAUAUAUCCGCAAGGCAUUAUCUG